rnacentral:rRNA from 1 species
CACGGGGGGAGCAAGCGUUGUUCGGAAUUACUGGGCGUAAAGGGCUCGUAGGCGGCCAACUAAGUCGGAUGUGAAAUCCCCAGGCUCAACCUGGGAACUGCAUCCGAUACUGGAUGGCUUGAAUUCGGGAGAGGGAUGCAGAAUUCCAGGUGUAGCGGUGAAAUGCGUAGAUAUCUGGAGGAAUACCGGUGGCGAAGGCGGCAUCCUGGACCGACAUUGACGCUGAUGAGCGAAAGCUAGGGGAGCAAACGGG